rnacentral:rRNA from 1 species
AGUGACCUCGACUCCGCAGUUAAGCGUGCUUGAGCGAGAUCGUACAGGAGAGGACCUCCCGGGAGUCUCGUUGUUGCAUUCAC